rnacentral:rRNA from 1 species
UACGUAGGGUGCGAGCGUUGUCCGGAAUUAUUGGGCGUAAAGGGCUCGUAGGCGGCUUGUCGCGUCGGGAGUGAAAACCAGGUGCUUAACACCUGGCUUGCUUUCGAUACGGGCAGACUAGAGGUAUUCAGGGGAGAACGGAAUUCCUGGUGUAGCGGUGAAAUGCGCAGAUAUCAGGAGGAACACCGGUGGCGAAGGCGGUUCUCUGGGAAUGACCUGACGCUGAGGAGCGAAAGUGUGGGGAGCGAACAGG